rnacentral:rRNA from 1 species
CCUACGGGAGGCAGCAGUGGGGGAUAUUGCACAAUGGGGGAAACCCUGAUGCAGCGAAGCCGCGUGAGUGAAGAAGUAUUUCGGUAUGUAAAGCUCUAUCAGCAGGGAAGAAAAUGACAGUACCUGACCACGAAGCCCCGGCUAACUACGUGCCAGCAGCCGCGGUAAUACGUAGGGGGCAAGCGUUAUCCGGAUUUACUGGGUGUAAAGGGAGCGUAGUCGGUUAUGUAAGUCUGGAGUGAAAGCCCGGGGCCUAACCCCGGGACUGCUUUUGAAACUGUGUGACUGGAGUAGAGGAGGGGCAUGCGGAAGGCGUGGUGUAGCGGUGAAAUGCGUAGAUAUCGGGAGGAACACCGGUGGCGAAGGCGGCCUGCUGGACUGAAACUGACGUUGAGGCUCGAAAGCGUGGGGAGCAAACAGGAGUAGAUACCCUUGUAGUC